GCCGUUUGGAACUCCUCCAGCUCCGCUCCGUCAAUUCCGUGAGCGGAGCAGAGUCGAACGCUACAGCUGCAAAAGCAGCUCCACGAAACUAUGUUGGGCCGCAGUGCAAAUCGGAGAAGUUGGAGAAGCUUGGAAGUUGCAGCGGGAUCCUAAAAACACGGAGUCGGCCUAAAUUACAACCCACUGCCACCGGUAAGUGGAAAAAUGGCCUGCUCUUUAGAGUCAGGAAAAUUUCGCAUAUCUGCCACCAAACAGGUGAUGCCGGUCACCAGAGAAGCUGGCAUCAAUGAUGCGAAGCUAGAACUGAGGAUUUGACGAGGCAAUGUGAGUUUUAAACAGGCAAUUAAUAAGCUUAGCUCUGUGCGAGAAACCAUGUCAAAGAUAGACUGUUGAUUAGGUGAUUAGGUGUUGUUGUUUGCCUGUGCACCAAGUUAAACUGACAGCGGUGCAUCAGGUCGGAGAGACGAACAUGCAGAAGCCUUGUUUUGGGCAUGGCAUUGUGGGCUGCAGCCUUUUGGUAGGGUUUGCUGUGGCUGGGCAUCAAGCCGUCAACCGGGAGAUGGAAGUGCAGGAGCUGGAGAGAUCGAGCACGCCAUCACACAAACAGGCGGCUGGUCAAUGGACCACGGCGUGCGGCCGAUGCUGUGCCCCUUCCUCCAGCUGCCCAGCUCAAGAGGCACCGGCGCAUGACAGAGCCUAUGCCAGCCCCACAACACAGGAGACGGCCGACACUGCGCCGGUCUAUCAACACCGCGACCAAGCAGCUUUAGCGCAGUACCUUUUUUUCCUUUGUUAGUAUUUGGUAAUAAUUGUUCAUUCUCAGUUCUUGCAAUUAUUUGUCUGAGGUAUUGCCAGUAGAUUAAACCUUAUUCAGAUAAUAGGAGUUUUGGCGAAAUGUGGGGCAUUGGCUAUGGGUUUUACUCAUAAUUAGGAUAUUACUUCGUUCGGCUGAGUGAUUUUCCAAGUACGUAUUAAUUUGGAAACGCAUAAAAAUCAUUUCCAAGUAACUUAAUAAAGCAUUUUGAUUUGUAUUUGUUUUUGUA